UUUCCGUAGGUGAACCUGCGGAAGGAUCAUUAUUGUAUAGCCGAGGUGCGAGGGCUGUCGCUGACCCGAAAGGUCGUGCACGCCCGAGUGCCCUCACACACAUCCACCUCACCCCUAUGUGCACCACCGCGUGGGUCCCCCUUUGGCUUGUUCGGAGGGGGGCUUACGUUUUCACACAAACUUUGUAUGCAGUGUAGAAUGUAUUUUUUGUUUUUGCGAUCACGCAAUCAAUACAACUUUCAACAACGGAUCUCUUGGCUCUC
rnacentral:misc_RNA from 1 species